rnacentral:tRNA from 1 species
AAAGGCGUGCGGCCGCUUUUCGGUCCUGCAUGGGGUGCAGGUGGUCGGAGGUUCAAAUCCUCUCGCCCCGACCA